CUCGUCGACUGGAAGGAUUUCCUUCCAGCCGGCGAGGUACAUGCCUCGUCGACUGGAAGGAUUUCCUUCCAGCCGGCGAGGUACAUGCCUCGUCGACUGGAAGGGGUUUCUUCCGGCCGACGAG
rnacentral:miRNA from 1 species